UACGUAGGGUGCAAGCGUUGUCCGGAAUUAUUGGGCGUAAAGGGCUCGUAGGCGGUCUGUCACGUCGGGCGUGAAAACUCAGGGCUUAACCCUGAGCCUGCUUCCGAUACGGGCAGACUAGAGGUAUGCAGGGGAGAAUGGAAUUCCUGGUGUAGCGGUGAAAUGCGCAGAUAUCAGGAGGAACACCAGUGGCGAAGGCGGUUCUCUGGGCAUUACCUGACGCUGAGGAGCGAAAGUGUGGGGAGCGAACAGG
rnacentral:rRNA from 1 species